UACAGAGGGUGCAAGCGUUGUCCGGAAUUACUGGGCGUAAAGGGCGCGUAGGCGGCUUGAUAAGUAGGAGGUGAAAUCUCACGGCUCAACCGUGAAACUGCCUUCUAAACUGUCAGGCUUGAGCACGGUAGAGGCAGAUGGAAUUCCCGGUGUAGCGGUGGAAUGCGUAGAGAUCGGGAAGAACACCAGUGGCGAAGGCGGUCUGCUGGGCCGUUGCUGACGCUGAGGCGCGACAGCGUGGGGAGCAAACAGG
rnacentral:rRNA from 1 species